CCAAACGUAUCCACGUUAUGCUCUGAAUAGAUGUGCAGGCAUCUCUGUCUGUCAAGCAGAGUAGUACGCCGGUAAUCCAUCGCCACCUUUUUCUCUUGGCGCGGGCCUGGCAUGGGACAUAUAAAACCAGCUACGCUACCCGCUUAGCCAGCGGCAUCGCCUUCUCAAAGCAAUAAUACUACACGUACAUGAUAUUCAUACAAAGAGUUACAGGGAGGGAACAUGGCCUCAUCUAAUUGCCCCCCCCCCCCCCACCCCCCCUGAUUUUCACUAGUGGGCCCGCCCUCCUAAUUAAAUCGCUGCCAAUCACACCCCCUCAGCCCCGUAAACCCCCUGUAACCUCCCCGUACGUCUAGCAUUGCUCUUCUCAAAGUCCUCGAGCCCCGCACACCACCUCCUCCUCGUUUCUCUCCUCGUCGACGCCUCCGCUCCUGCCUCAUCUCCGCCUCCCGAUUCAGACACCCAGCCCUCGAUGCCGGCGCAGGAUGAUAGAGAAGGAGAGGGUGAUCUCGAUGGCCCGAAAAGGGAGGACAAGGGUUGGUGGCAUGGGAUGGAUCUGCUCGGGAAGGUGAGAGGACAGAGACAAAGGGGGAGCACGAGGUGCUCAAGGCGGCGUAGCAGAGGACGGUGUGGAGGCGCUGUGGUGUGGCGUACGGCGUCAAGGGGGAGGUGUGCAGGGGAGUUCCGCGGGGGCGGCACCAUGGAUACGUCGUCAAGAAAGAGGUGUGUAGGGGGGGUUUCGCGGCGGGGCCGCCAUGGAUCCGCAUCCUGGUCGUGACCUUUGCGCCCCCUGCAUGCUGGCUGGCUCACAUCGCCCCUAGAUGGCAUGGAGGCCGUCCAUGACACCGCUGACGUGCCACUCUUGGAUGCCGAGGCGUUGCCCCAAAGACAUCGCCGCCGCCGCCGAGGGCCGGCCAUGAAGCCGCUGAUGUGUGAGCCAAUACAAGUUAGGGACGACCUCGUCACCCGUCAGGUCAUUUUGGAGUUGUAAUCAAAGAUUUGGUAGCAGAUCGUACCAAGGCAGGUGUAAUGUGCAUCCAAGAUCAAUAUUUUGUCUUGCUUUCGUUGAAUGUAAUACCAUUGUCUUCAUACCGUUUUUAAGUAUCUUUUGCGUGGGAUUUUAUACAUUUUCCUAUUGCUUUUUAUGGAGAUGUAGUUUGGAAUUUAGUUUUUUAUUGGAUUGUGUGUUGAUAUGAAGUCCUAUGACAUGUUUCAAAGAAUUAGUUCUACAUACAGUAUAGUGAAAGUUCAUGUGUAAUGUAGGGUCUGAGGCUCUGAGCAUGAACUGAUGUUUGCAAUAGGGAAGUUUGUUGGCCGCA